GACGAACGCUGGCGGCGUGCUUAACACAUGCAAGUCGAACGAUGAAGCCUAGCUUGCUAGGUGGAUUAGUGGCGAACGGGUGAGUAAUACGUGAGUAACCUACCUUUAACUCUGGGAUAAGCCUGGGAAACUGGGUCUAAUACCGGAUACGACCAAUCUCCGCAUGGGGUGUUGGUGGAAAGCGUUAUGUAGUGGUUAUAGAUGGGCUCACGGCCUAUCAGCUUGUUGGUGAGGUAACGGCUCACCAAGGCGACGACGGGUAGCCGGCCUGAGAGGGUGACCGGCCACACUGGGACUGAGACACGGCCCAGACUCCUACGGGAGGCAGCAGUGGGGAAUAUUGCACAAUGGGCGCAAGCCUGAUGCAGCGACGCCGCGUGAGGGAUGACGGCCUUCGGGUUGUAAACCUCUGUUAGCAGGGAAGAAGAGAGAUUGACGGUACCUGCAGAGAAAGCGCCGGCUAACUACGUGCCAGCAGCCGCGGUAAUACGUAGGGCGCGAGCGUUGUCCGGAAUUAUUGGGCGUAAAGGGCUUGUAGGCGGUUUGUCGCGUCUGCUGUGAAGGCCGGAGCUUAACUCCGUGUAUUGCAGUGGGUACGGGCAGACUAGAGUGCAGUAGGGGAGACUGGAAUUCCUGGUGUAGCGGUGGAAUGCGCAGAUAUCAGGAGGAACACCGAUGGCGAAGGCAGGUCUCUGGGCUGUAACUGACGCUGAGAAGCGAAAGCAUGGGGAGCGAACAGGAUUAGAUACCCUGGUAGUCCAUGCCGUAAACGUUGGGCACUAGGUGUGGGGAACAUUCCACGUUUUCCGCGCCGUAGCUAACGCAUUAAGUGCCCCGCCUGGGGAGUACGGCCGCAAGGCUAAAACUCAAAGAAAUUGACGGGGGCCCGCACAAGCGGCGGAGCAUGCGGAUUAAUUCGAUGCAACGCGAAGAACCUUACCAAGGCUUGACAUAUACUGGACCGCAUCAGAGAUGGUGUUUCCCUUCGGGGCUGGUAUACAGGUGGUGCAUGGUUGUCGUCAGCUCGUGUCGUGAGAUGUUGGGUUAAGUCCCGCAACGAGCGCAACCCUCGUUCUAUGUUGCCAGCACGUUAUGGUGGGGACUCAUAGGAGACUGCCGGGGUCAACUCGGAGGAAGGUGGGGAUGACGUCAAAUCAUCAUGCCCCUUAUGUCUUGGGCUUCACGCAUGCUACAAUGGCCGGUACAGAGGGUUGCGAUACUGUGAGGUGGAGCUAAUCCCUAAAAGCCGGUCUCAGUUCGGAUUGGGGUCUGCAACUCGACCCCAUGAAGUCGGAGUCGCUAGUAAUCGCAGAUCAGCAACGCUGCGGUGAAUACGUUCCCGGGCCU
rnacentral:rRNA from 1 species